GGGAGUGGGUGGGGCCCGGUGGUCCUCGCCGUCUUCAAAACGGUUGCCCUGUCGCAAGCGCGGCGGGGGGUGGGUUCGACUCCCAUGCACUCCCGCCA
rnacentral:tRNA from 1 species